rnacentral:lncRNA from 10 species
UUUUAAUUUUUUCACUUUUCUCAUGGACAAUCUCCACAUUUUAUGUCAUUUCUUUUUCUUGAAGUAACUAACCUUGAAUGGAAAAAUUGGUAUUUUUCUUUUCCCACCAGCAUGUUGAAUCAUCCAUUUGUCUGGUAACUUGAGACAGCCGGUAGAGGAGUCACAAGAGUAGGUACCUUUCCAUGAGCUCACCUCUGUUCCACUCCCAUCUCAUAAAGGGUGUGACAGAUACUUCACAGAAGGCAAGGAGAAAACAGGUCAGAAGUAUGUUAUUGGGGGCUUAGCACUGAUUUUGGUUCUGACAAGCUGGCCACUCAGAGACAGCAGUAGCUAUGUCUGUCUCAGUAUGUGGUAGACCAUGCUGUUGGGCCCAUAUAUAUAUAGCCUCCAUGCCUGCCACUGGGGCUACUUCAUUCACGUACCCACUGUGUCAGUUCUGGGAUGACUAAAAUCAACUGGGUCAUCAUGAGUGAAGUCUUGAGCCACUGAGCCACUACCACCUUGUGCCAAAUACUAUCUGUGCCCUGCCUGCCAACCAGGAUGACAACCCUUCACCUGCCAGGUGGAGAGAGACAGCAGCAGGCUAACUAGUUGUCUGUUAAGAACAUCCAGAGCAGGACCAGAAUCUGGGCCAGGAACUGAGAGACAGAUUGGGACAACGGAACAAAUCUACCAGGGAUGCUCAAUAAAGGAAUGUAGAAGAAUGUUGGGAGAGAAGCAUUCUCACCUAUUUCUGAUCUUAACAGGUACAGACAGUGCAAAGGUGGUGUGCCUAGUGAGCUUGGAUGUAUCAAACAGCUGUAAGAAAAUCUCUCCAACCUUCUCUGAAUAAAGGAGGAAUGUGGUGUUUAUUGAGGAACAGGCAACCCUUACAUUUGAAUAAAAGAUGCCAUAUAGAAGCAAGUGCAUUCGUCCCACCUCACCAACAGCUUGAAGAGUCA